rnacentral:rRNA from 1 species
UUGACGGGGAGCACCACAACGGGUGGAGCUUGCGGUUUAAUUGGAUUCAACGCCGGAAAUCUUACCGGGACCGACAGCAAUAUGAAGGCCAGGCUGAAGACUUUGCCGGAUUAGCUGAGAGGUGGUGCAUGGCCGUCGUCAGUUCGUACUGUGAAGCAUCCUGUUAAGUCAGGCAACGAGCGAGACCCACGCCCACAGUUGCCAGCGUACUCUCUGGAGUGACGGGUACACUGUGGGGACCGCCGCUGCUAAAGCGGAGGAAGGAAUGGGCAACGGUGGGUCAGUAUGCCCCGAAUAUCCCGGGCUACACGCGAGCUACAAUGGUUGGUACAAUGGGUAUCUACCCCGAAAGGGGACGGGAAUCUCCUAAAACCAAUCUUAGUUCGGAUUGAGGGCUGCAACUCGCCCUCAUGAAGCUGGAAUCCGUAGUAAUCGCGUUUCAACAGAACGCGGUGAAUACGUCCCUGCUCCUU